CAGUUAGAGGAAUGAUGUAUUACCAAAGAGCACUUAAGCUUCAAGCUUUUCUAGACAUGGCUUCUGAAAGUGGUAAGAAAAAUAGCUG